rnacentral:rRNA from 1 species
UACGAAGGGGGCUAGCGUUGUUCGGAAUUACUGGGCGUAAAGCGCACGUAGGCGGAUCGAUCAGUCAGGGGUGAAAUCCCGGGGCUCAACCCCGGAACUGCCUUUGAUACUGGUAGUCUCGAGUCCGGAAGAGGUGAGUGGAAUUCCGAGUGUAGAGGUGAAAUUCGUAGAUAUUCGGAGGAACACCAGUGGCGAAGGCGGCUCACUGGUCCGGUACUGACGCUGAGGUGCGAAAGCGUGGGGAGCAAACAGG